AACGAACGCUGGCGGCAUGCCUAACACAUGCAAGUCGAACGAGACCUUCGGGUCUAGUGGCGCACGGGUGCGUAACGCGUGGGAAUCUGCCCUUGGGUUCGGAAUAACAGUGAGAAAUUACUGCUAAUACCGGAUGAUGUCUUCGGACCAAAGAUUUAUCGCCCAGGGAUGAGCCCGCGUAGGAUUAGCUAGUUGGUGGGGUAAUGGCCUACCAAGGCGACGAUCCUUAGCUGGUCUGAGAGGAUGAUCAGCCACACUGGGACUGAGACACGGCCCAGACUCCUACGGGAGGCAGCAGUGGGGAAUAUUGGACAAUGGGCGCAAGCCUGAUCCAGCAAUGCCGCGUGAGUGAUGAAGGCCUUAGGGUUGUAAAGCUCUUUUACCCGGGAUGAUAAUGACAGUACCGUGAGAAUAAGCUCCGGCUAACUCCGUG
rnacentral:rRNA from 1 species